rnacentral:tRNA from 1 species
GGACCGGUAGCCUAGCCAGGAUAGGGCAUCGGCCUCCUAAGCCGAGGGUCCCGGGUUCGAAUCCCGGCCGGUCCGCCA